rnacentral:rRNA from 1 species
GGGGAGGAAGGAGGGGACCGACGUCUGGUCAGCAUGGCCCCUACGGCCUGGGCGACACACGUGCUACAAUGCCCACUACAAAGCGAGGCCACCCGGCAACGGGGAGCUAAUCGCAAAAAGGUGGGCCCAGUUCGGAUUGGGGUCUGCAACCCGACCCCAUGAAGCCGGAAUCGCUAGUAAUCGCAGAUCAGCCAUGCCGCGGUGAAUACGUUCCCGGGCCUU